rnacentral:miRNA from 1 species
UCCUCUUGCGCGAUCCCCACGU